rnacentral:rRNA from 1 species
UACGAAGGGGGCUAGCGUUGCUCGGAAUCACUGGGCGUAAAGCGCACGUAGGCGGCUUUUUAAGUCAGGGGUGAAAUCCUGGAGCUCAACUCCAGAACUGCCUUUGAUACUGAGGAGCUCGAGUCCGGGAGAGGUGAGUGGAACUGCGAGUGUAGAGGUGAAAUUCGUAGAUAUUCGCAAGAACACCAGUGGCGAAGGCGGCUCACUGGCCCGGUACUGACGCUGAGGUGCGAAAGCGUGGGGAGCGAACAGG